UUUUAUGAUAAAAUAUAUAUUAUAAAUAUAUAUAUAUAUUGAUUGAAUAAUAUGAUUUAAUAGAUGGAAAUAGUUAAAAGAAUAAAUCUAACUAUCGAAAACUUAUAAGUAUAAAGUGGCCUAACUUAUAAGAGUGUAAUGGCCGAACUAUAUAUAUAUAUAUAUAUCUCUGAAGCUGGUAUACUUCUAGAAGCUUUCGAGUCAUUUUCGAUGUUGAGACUUUCAAAUCGACGAUCAGCUUCAUUAGACUUAAUCUAGAGUACUUGAAAUAUUUAAAAAAUAAAUUUCGUGAUUUUUCGAUAUCAUUUGCCUAGUGAUCGAAAUGAUCAAAAAUCAAUAAUUUUAAUAGUCGCAGCGAGCCGUUUGUAAGUUUAACGGUGUAGAAAUAUUCAAAUAAUAUGAAAUUUUGAUAAAAACUUUUUUAUACUAUAUAAAAUAAGAUCAAUAUCUUUGAUCUAAAAUUUUAAUAUCAUAUCAUCAUAUUUUGUAACAUUUUUAUUAUCAGUCGUUGAUUUUGAGUCAUUUCGAUGACUAGGCAAAUGAUAUCAAAAAAUUACGAAAUUUAUUUUCUAGGUACUUCAAAUACUCUAAAUCAAGUUUAACAGAAUCGAUUAUUGAUUCGAAAACCCUAACAUUGAAAAUAACUUAAAAGUACGGAAGAUUUUAUGCUUCCAGAAGCAUAAAAAAGGCCAAACGGAAAACAUGUGGUUAAAAAAAAAAAAAAAAAAAAAAAAAAAAAAAAAAAAAAGUUGAAGGAUUGUUUCACGUGGUGCCAAACAAUCCCUAGUAUGGCACACGUGCAAUAAAGACAAAAGUAAUGCGUACGUGUUUGAAAAAUUCGCUCCAAGAGGCGUUGAUCGCCACCCUUAUUCACAUAUCAUUAAGGAAAAAUUAAAGCUUAAUUAUAUUAAAAAAAAAGGGCAAACUUUAAAUAUCACCCCUACGAUUUCACACUUUCUCACUUUACUAUUCUGUGAUUUAAAGUGUAUCAGUUUAGUAUCCUCUGGUUUCAUUUUUCUCUUUUCGUCAGCUUCUCUGUUAACAUUUUGUUAAAUUAUAUACAAAAAACUUCAGAUACCCUACUUAAAUUUAUCGAAUAUUCACUUUAGUACCCUUUCAUUUUAACUUUGUCACUGACUUAAUGAAAAAUAUAGUGAAAGGGAUUAUAAAAAGAGAAAAAUAAAACUACGGGGUAGUACAUCGAUACAUUUUAAACCACAGAGUACCAAUGUGAGAAAGUGUGAACCGCAUGGAUGGUAUUUGAAGUUCUUUCUUAAAAAAAAUUAAAGUCAAAUCUCAAGUCAAAUUGUGAGAUGAUGCCCCCUUUAACAAUAAAAUUUGAUUAAAUUACAAUAAAAUUUCUUAUAAAUACUCUUUUUUUUUAUUUUUUCUUUCUAACUUUCAAAAAUCUAUAUUUUACCCCCCAAAUAUUUUAAGUUAUUGUAUUUAAUCCCUAUCCGUCAGGGUUAUAUCAUUAUUCCAUUCAUUUCUCAUAAUUUACAUAAAAAUAUCCUUCAAAAUUACAGAAAUAUAUUAAAAAUUAUUUUUCUUAUAAAAUAAGUAAGAGUAAUUUGGUCACUUUAAAUCUCCAUUAAUCCCGUACUCUCCUGAAAAUAUUUUUAAAAUUUUAAUGGGGCAAAAUAUAGUUUUGAAAGUCAGAGAGAAAAAGUAAAAAAAUAUAUAUAUUUAUAAAAAAAAAAUUAUGUAGUUUAGCCAUAAAAUCUUAUCAUAAAAAAAUAUAUAAGUCAUUAAAUAGCUAAACAUAAUUUAAUGAACCACGGAAUAGGCAUGAAAAAUGGGCUAUACCAUAGUAGGACAAAUUAACGUGGAUGCUAAGUCUACACCUAAGAGGGGCAUCGAAUGGAUUUAGUGUUAUGCCCUUAACAAUUCCACAUUGGAUGGAUAAGGAAUAACUCGACUUAAAUAUUUUGAGCCAAUAAUUUCGAUCCAACGAGUUAUUAUUGCUAAUGGGUCAAAUCGUUACAUUUGGUAACAGAACUGAAUAUCAGCGAAAAUAUGAGAAUUAAUGCUACAUCACAAGGUUGGUGGAAGCUAACCAUCUCUAGAAUCCUAUAUCGUCUGCUAAUUUUAGUUUAUGUGAGUGAAACGGAUGUAUCUUAUCAUUUUUUAACUAAAAAUCAAUAAAAAUGUGAUAAAUUC
rnacentral:lncRNA from 1 species